ensembl:lncRNA
UGAAAGGCAUCUAAGAAGAUUAUUAAAAUCCCUUGGUUUAAAACGGAGGAGUUUUGACAGGCCCCAUAAUGAAAUUCGCCAAGCUGUUAUGGUACAGUAUGUCUUAAAGCAGUGUUCUGCAUUCCUACUCCUGGAAAGCUACUAACUUUCUGAUUUCAGUUCCAGUCAUUUUCUAAAACACCUGCAGUCAACUGCAAAUAACUGCCUUAAGUAAAUCUCCAAGUGGCUAAGUGUGGUGUCCCAUACUCUGAAUUUGUGCUCUGCAUUUAACCCACCCAAGUGCACAGACACAGCAGUGAGUAGUAAACACACACACCGUGAACAAACACCCUGAGCAGUGAGCAGCCACUUUUUGCUGCGGCACCCAGAAAGCAGUUGUGGGUUCAGUGUCUUGCUCAGGGGGACUUCUGUUGUGGGUAAUGCGGGUGGAAGAAAGUGCUGGUCAUUCACUCCCCCAACCUACAUUUCCUGCCGGUGCUGAGACUCAAACAUGUGACCUUCAGGCUACGAGUCUGACUCUCUAACCAUUAGGCCCCGACUACCCAUAAACCUAAUUGUGUUUCUACUGGACACUGGCAGUAAUUUCCAUGUAAACUCACAUGCUUUGAUUUGUUGAUUCUGAUGCAUCUAAUUAAGCCAGGGUGUCCAACCCUGCUCCUGGAGGGUGUGUGUGUGUGUGUGUGUGUGUAAAAUAUUUAUUGUGGUAAUAAUCCAAAAUAAUAUUUAUAUUAGCUUAUGCACUGCUCACCUUGGCAAGGAAUCCGUGCAAUGCACAAACGGGUUCGUGAUGUCAGAGGAAUCCAGCCUUGCUACAGGAAUGAUGUGGCUCUAAUAAUGAGAGAACUUGAUGCCAGUGCUCUUCUUAGAAGAUGUCCUGGGAAAAAAAAGGAUUGAACGUAGGAACUACUUCAGCCAUGGACCAAAUUACACUUGGCGUAUUGAUGGAAAUGACAAAUUGAAAUUCUUUGGAAUCUGGACAUAUCUUGGUAUUGAUGGGUUUUCUAGGAAAAUCAUUUGGCUUAAGGCUGGCACCUCAAACCGACAGCAAACCUUCGUUGCAAGGUACUUCUUUGAUGCCAUUCAGGAACACAGUGGUUGCCCACGAUUCAUAAGGGCAGACAGAGGAAAGGAAAAUCUUCUCGUCGGACAGAUGCAAGUGGCAUUUCACUUCCGGGAGUCUGGUGAUCAAGGACGAGACUCCUUCAGAGUGGGCACAUCAGUACAUAACCAGGCAUGUGAGCAUAAAUGGAUUUAUAUAUUAUAAUGCAUGCAAUAAAUAUACCAACUGCUGGCCA